UCAGUUAUUUCUUAAAAUAAAUUGUCUGCCCCUUUCUCUCUCUCUUCUCCUUCUGGGACCCCAAUAAUAUGAAUGUUAGUCCACUUGAUGUUUUCCCAUAAUUCCUGUAGAUUGUUA